AUGUGUAGAGGGGUCUCUCUUUUGGCCUGCCGCAGGAUCCGGCUCCUAUUCAUGGGCAGUGGAGGAGCCUGGUCUGGACCCCCAGACUGCUGGACGGAGGGCCGGGUCGGUUUGGGUUUGACUGUGGGGGCCCUCCUGGGCCUUCGGGUCCGGAGAGUUGGAUUGGUGGUUAGUGUAGCAUCUCCACUGGUGGUUGGUGUAGUCUCUGGGUGGCUGAACUUACUCACAAUGCUGUUGACUUUCCCCCCCGAAUUGUGUGCUGUGCUGCCCAUCUCUCCUAGCUGGGAGGGGGUGGAGGGGGCUCCAUUGGAGGAAGGGGGUUUUCUGGAGAUGGGGGGCCGGGGUUUGGCCUCUGGUCUGGGGGGUAAGGGGGACGUGAAGUGUUCCGGGAAAGACAUGUUGAGGGGUUUGGACUGGUCUGUAUUUUUUGGGGAAUUCCAAUCUGAGCCCUGACCUAUCAGAGGUCAAGUCAAGGGGUCAGUUUGGGCUUGUCAUUUUCACCUGGAGAGGAAAGAGAGAGAAAGUCUGAAUACAGCCUAUCUGAAUAAUGGAAGUCUGACAGAGUUUCUCAUUAUUAGUGUCAUUAUACUGUUUUAUUUUGUUCUCAGGUACGAUAUCAAAUCAGAUCAAAGUUUAUUGGUCACAGUUUAUCAGAAGUUAUAGCGGGUGCAGCGAAAUGCUUGUGUUACUAGCUUCUAACGGUGCGGUAAAAACGACAAACAAUUACACAGAUAAUAAUCCAAAACUAGAAACAAGAAAUAUGAUAUGCGGCAAGACAACCAUUGUAUGAGUUCAAUAUGACAGCAAUACAACUUUUCAUACACACAGAGCGUCAUUCUGUAAUGAUGUGUUAAUCCUCUAAUAAGUAUGUCUCUGUAGCUGCAGAAGAGAUCCUCAAGUGAAAGAAAGGAAUGAAGACUUGGACUCGAAAGAGGCACACCUUCCGAGACACAUUCACAACAGGUUGAAUUCCAGAAAAUUCUACACCUACCACACCCAUAGGACGGAGCAAUAACUAUCACUCUGAGAAAUCAGCUGAGGAAUGAUGAUAAAGAUAUAGGACAGCUUGGCAUUAUAAAAUGCGAAAGGAGGCAACAUUGUCACGAUUGUGGGGAUUCGUAUAUCUUGCUUCCCUUGGCGGCAGGUAGCCUAGCUGUUAAGAGCGCUGGGCCAGUUCUGAAAGGUUGCUGGUUUGAAUCCCUGAGCCAGCAUGGUGGAACAAUCUGCUGUUCUGCCCUUGAGCAAGGCAGUUACCCCCAAGAACAGCUGCUCCCUGGGUGCUGAUGAUGUCAAUUAAGACAGGCCCCUGCACCUCUCUGAUUCAGAGGGGAAAAUGCAGAAGACACAUUUUGGUUAAAUGCAUUCAGUUGUACAACUGACUAGAUAUCCCCUGGCCUGUAGGCCUACUUGUUGUUCCCAAUUUCAUCAGUUUCAGGACUGGCCCAGACAUGCAGUUAUUAUCUUACUAUCUUGUGUGUGUGUGUGUGUGUGUGUGUGUGUGUGUGUGUGUGUGUGUGUGUGUGUGUGUGUGUGUGUGUGUGUGUGUGUGUGUGUGUGUGUGUGUGUGUGUGUGUGUGUGUGUGUGUGUGUGUGUGUGUGUGUGUGUGUGUGUGUGUGUGUGUGUGUGUUAAUACCUAGGGAGAGAGAGAGAGCAACCCAGCAAAUUCAGUGAGUGACACCCCCCCCUUGGGAAUUAAUAGUUGAUGACCACACCUCAUAUACAUAUAGUAUACUAAUACUUUGUCUACAGCCUAAACUGCAAAUAUGAGUUACAGUAUUUCAACAGUUUUAUCUUGCAAGUAUGCCACCUUGAACUAUAAUAAUUUUACGGUUUUCAACUCUCUGACAACAGAGGUUACAUAAGUAGGUUUAACGAUAGGCAACUCAACAAUAAAAUCUCCUUAAUCCCGGAGUCCAUUCACCCAUCGAAAUCAUGAUCUGGAACUUGGUGACUAAUAAGUAUUUUUUAAACCUCCCGCUUUGGGCUGGAUGUGUUAAUGUGUAGUUCAUACAUGUAUAAUAUAUGAGCAGAAUUACUGUCUUACCUCAAUUAGCCACGAAAUCCCUAGUUUGAAAGCAACUGUUUUUCUACAUGUUCCUCCAUGUGAGCCUGCCUCCUAGCAAUUUGAGUUCAACCAAUGAGGUUCAGCCCCUCGCCAUAUGAGUGACAGCAAGCAAGAUGCACAUUUAAUUUUUUAUUUAACUAGGCAAGUGAGUUUCUUAUUUACAAUGACGGCCUACACCAGCCAAACCCGGACGACGCUGGGCCAAUUGUGCGCCGCCCUAUGGGACUCCCAAUCACGGCCGGUUGUGAUACAGCCUGGAUUCAAACCAGGGUUUCUGUAGUGAUGCUUCUAGCACUGAGAUGCAGUGUCUUAGACCAGUGCGCCACUUGGGAGCCAUGAUGCAUCCACAACAAAGUGAGAGAGAGUAAUGACUUGGUGCACGUCAGCAUAUGUGUGACGCAGUAGGCAAUUUUCAGGGACCACUUUUGGCUUGUGAGCACUACUGGCUAAAAAGUAUACAAAAGUACUGGAGAAUCUCUUUAAUGAGCAACAUUAAAGUAACAGAGAGAGAGAGAGAGAGAGAGAGAGAGAGAGAGAGAGAGAGAGAGAGAGAGAGAGAGAGAGAGAGAGAGAGAGAGACAGACAGACAGACAGACAGACAGACAGACAGACAGACAGACAGACAGACAGACAGACAGACAGACAGACAGACAGACAGACAGACAGACAGACAGACAGACAGACAGACAGACAGACAGACAGACAGACAGACAGACAGCAGGUGAGAAAUGUAAAGAGAGGCAAAGAAAGGGAGAGCAAGUGAAAGAGGGAUAGAGAGAGAGGGGAAAUGGGAAAAGAUUGGAAACAGGGACAUUUCUGUACUGUUUUGGAAUGGAUCAUGUGGUCAUGUGCUUUGGCCAGUAAAAACACAUUACAGUUCCAUGCAUCAAUGCACUCUGAACCUAGCUCGACCACAAGUAGUCAGUUACAGUAAGAACCCCUUUGCUGCAGUGAGACAUGAUUUGUUACAUUCACUACAUUCAUACAAAACAGCGGACGGGAUUUAUACCACCGUUUUAGUUUCCUACAUUCUAUAAAAAGGGAAAACGAUGAUGUCAUGAACAAGUGAUGAAUUUCACUGAGAGGUCAUUCAAAAGUAGACACCAAAACUGCAAAGCCUCGGUUUGUAUCCAGCAUAUACUUCCGAUGAGUUAGCCACAGAUGUUGCAAUAUUAAACCGAAAGAGAGGUUAGGUUAGUCACCAUAACAAUGACUUAUCAUCAGCCUAUGUGGUAAAGCUUCUCUUUAAGGAGGUUAUUGCUUUGCUCUCUGUAACUUCAGAAAUUAGAUCACUUGAGAAUUGAGAUCAAACAUUUGUAAAGAUUCCAAUGGCUCACCUGUAUGCAUGGUUGGGAGUCCAUUCCAGUCAGUUUGAGGAAUUAAUCCAGUUGUCCAUCGUUUUGUAUAAUGAGGCUGUAAUGAUAUAGCUGCACUAUCUGCACAAAUAUGCAAAUACGCUGCUCAGAUUACUGCACCAUCCUCUAUAAAGACAUCAAAUCCAUUCAGGAAAUAUCUAUAUCGGCAACUACAACAUCCUGAGUCCUAAGAUUGUAUUGUGUUCUGUCUUUAACAGUUUCAACAAGGCUGUAUCCUCAGUGUUUCUCUCCGACUUAGUCUUUCUGUUGAAGCUUUUUGUCAAAACAGCACCGACUAGUCAGACAGGUUUGUGACGUGGUGUGGUCGUUUUACAUGUAUGAACAGUCACUCAGCCUUGUACAAAAGAAUGGGGGUAAAUCCAUUUCAAUUGAAUCACUUUUUGACAGAAUCCCUUUUUGAAUUUAAACAAGACUUUACGCACCUGUUUGGAAGAAGUGGUCAGAAAGUGACUUUUUGGAACCGAAUGCCAAAACACCGCCAUCGGUUGACACACAACAUGCUCUUGAAUACAGGGUGGUGUUUCAAUCAUAGAAAUAGAAUUCAUAGAAUGGACCUAUCCCUUCAGACCACUGCAAUUGAAAUGUUAACUUCAAAUUACUACCACAAAGAUGACCGCCGGUCCACCCACCGUCGAAUGUCAAAUGAAAUGGCAAUGUCUAUUCUAUUAUCUACAUCUCUAUGAUUUCAAUAGGUUUCCUAUGGAGGGUUGACAUCUCAACUGUUUAUCUUUUCCAGUGAUGAAGGCAUGGAUGUCUCAUGGUAUGAUGGGGUACGCAAAAUGGUUCAACUUUGAGCACCUUUAUCUCUUGACAGUCUUGGCUUUCAGGUCCAAAAAGUUACUUUCUGAGCACUUCUACAAUGGGCAAAUAUGUAUGGAAGGUUUCGUUCAAAUCAAAAUGGGUGCUGUCAAAAAGUGAUUGAAUUCAAAUGGAUUUACCCGAUGUAUAGGCGGUGCUGCUGCUUCCGGUCUCUUGAGAGAGGAAGA
rnacentral:lncRNA from 8 species